GAUGAACGCUAGCGGCAGGCCUAAUACAUGCAAGCCGAACGGCAAGUUGAGUAGCAAUACUUGACCUAGAGUGGCGUAAGGGUGCGUAACACGUAUGCAAUCUACCCGCAACAGGAGGAUAGCUCUCCGAAAGGGGAAUUAAGCCUCCAUGGGAUCAUGGGGUGGCAUCACUCCAUGAUUAAACUACCAGGGGUUGUGGAUGAGCAUGCGCAUGAUUAGUUAGUUGGCGGGUAACGGCCCACCAAGACGAUGAUCAUUAGGGGAACUGAGAGGUUGACUCCCCCAC
rnacentral:rRNA from 1 species